rnacentral:rRNA from 1 species
GCCUACGGGACGCAGCAGUGGGGGAUAUUGCACAAUGGGGGAAACCCUGAUGCAGCGACGCCGCGUGAGUGAAGAAGUAUUUCGGUACGUAAAGCUCUAUCAGCAGGGAAGAAUAAUGACGGUACCUGACUAAGAAGCCCCGGCUAACUACGUGCCAGCAGCCGCGGUAAUACGUAGGGGGCAAGCGUUAUCCGGAUUUACUGGGUGUAAAGGGAGCGUAGACGGCUGUGGAAGUCUGAAGUGAAAUGCCGUGGCCCAACUCCGGAACUGCUUUGGAAGCUGUACAGCUAGAGUGCAGGAGGGGG